rnacentral:sRNA from 1 species
GGGUUUAACUCCUGGUGUUUACCGGUUCAUCCGGCGGAGCCGGACGGGUGUUGGUGUCGAUUCGGUAUGAAUCGGGAGCACCUCUGCGUAGGCUUUCACGUUUAAGGCUUGCGCCGCCUACGGUCUUGGAUAGCCCCCGCCAGGCAGGGACCCCAAUUUAAUGCAGAGCCCGCCAAGCGGGCUC